GUAUAUUAACUGUGCUAAGGUAGCGUAAUCAUUUGUCUUUUAAUUGAGGGCUGGAAUGAAGGGUUGGACGAGGUAUUAGCUUUCUUUUAUUUAGUUUGAAGAAUUUAAUUUUUGAGUUAAAAAGCUUAAAUUUAUUUGUGGGACGAGAAGACCCUAUAGAUCUUUAUAGUUCUAUAUUUUAAUAAUUUAGGGAUUUAUAUAUUUAAGGUAAAUGAACUAUUUUGUUGGGGUGACUGUGGAAUUUGAGUAACUUCUA
rnacentral:rRNA from 1 species